GGCAAAGUAGCCAAGCGGUCUAAGGCGCCAGGUUCAGGUCCACCUGAAUUCUGCAUUCAACGAAUGUUUCCUGGUCGGAGCAAUCCGGCGCGAGUUCGAAUCUCGUCUUUGUCA
rnacentral:tRNA from 2 species